rnacentral:rRNA from 1 species
GGGUGAGUAACACGUAUGCAACCUGGCCGUCACAGGUGGAUAACCGGAAGAAAUUCCGACUAAUACAGCAUAACACUCCUGAGGGACAUCCUUCGGGAGUCAAAGGAGGUAACUCCGGUGACGGAUGGGCAUGCGGCGCAUUAGGUAGUUGGUAGGGUAACGGCCUACCAAGCCGACGAUGCGUAGGGGUUCUGAGAGGAAGGUCCCCCACAUUGGAACUGAGACACGGUCCAAACUCCUACGGGAGGCAGCAGUGAGGAAUAUUGGUCAAUGGCCGGAAGGCUGAACCAGCCAAGUCGCGUGAGGGAAUAAGGCCCUAUGGGUCGUAAACCUCUUUUGUCAGGGAGCAAAGGCGUCCACGUGUGGACGAGAGGAGAGUACCUGAAGAAAAAGCAUCGGCUAACUCCGUGCCAGCAGCCGCGGUAAUACGGAGGAUACGAGCGUUAUCCGGAUUUAUUGGGUUUAAAGGGUGCGUAGGCGGAGUGUCAAGUCAGCGGUAAAAUUUCGGGGCUCAACCCCGUCGUGCCGUUGAAACUGACACCCUUGAGUGAGUGAGAAGUAAGCGGAAUGCGUGGUGUAGCGGUGAAAUGCAUAGAUAUCACGCAGAACGCCGAUUGCGAAGGCAGCUUACCGGCGCUCAACUGACGCUGAGGCACGAAAGUGCGGGUAUCGAACAGGAUUAGAUACCCUGGUAGUCCGCACAGUAAACGAU